UAUGCCUACGGGGGGCAGCAGUGGGGAAUUUUGGACAAUGGGCGCAAGCCUGAUCCAGCUAUUCCGCGUGUGGGAUGGAGGCCCUCGGGUUGUAAACCACUUUUGUAAAGAACGAAAAGACACCUUUUAAUAAAGGGUGUUGCUGACGGUACUCUAAGAAUAAGCACCGGCUAACUACGUGCCAGCAGCCGCGGUAAUACGUAGGGUGCGAGCGUUAAUCGGAAUUACUGGGCGUAAAGGGUGCGCAGGCGGCUGAGUAAGACAGAUGUGAAAUCCCCGAGCUUAACUCGGGAAUGGCAUAUGUG
rnacentral:rRNA from 1 species